UACAGAGGGUGCGAGCGUUAAUCGGAAUUACUGGGCGUAAAGCGCGCGUAGGCGGCUUUUCAAGUCGGAUGUGAAAUCCCCGGGCUUAACCUGGGAACUGCAUUCGAGACUGUCUAGCUAGAGUAUGGGAGAGGGAAGUGGAAUUUCAGGUGUAGCGGUGAAAUGCGUAGAUAUCUGAAGGAACAUCAGUGGCGAAAGCGACUUCCUGGACCAAUACUGACGCUCAUGUGCGAAAGCGUGGGGAGCAAACAGGG
rnacentral:rRNA from 1 species